rnacentral:rRNA from 1 species
GUGGGGAAUAUUGGACAAUGGGCGAAAGCCUGAUCCAGCCAUGCCGCGUGUGUGAAGAAGGUCUUCGGAUUGUAAAGCACUUUAAGUUGGGAGGAAGGGCAGUAAGUUAAUACCUUGCUGUUUUGACGUUACCGACAGAAUAAGCACCGGCUAACUUCGUGCCAGCAGCCGCGGUAAUACGAAGGGUGCAAGCGUUAAUCGGAAUUACUGGGCGUAAAGCGCGCGUAGGUGGUUUUGUAAGUUGGAGGUGAAAUCCCCGGGCUCAACCUGGGAACAGCCUCCAAAACUGCAUGACUAGAGUACGGUAGAGGGUAGUGGAAUUUCCUGUGUAGCGGUGAAAUGCGUAGAUAUAGGAAGGAACACCAGUGGCGAAGGCGACUACCUGGACUGAUACUGACACUGAGGUGCGAAAGCGUGGGGAGCAAACAGGAUUAGAAACCCCAGUAGUCC